CAGUUCAAGAGGUUUGCACAGUAUGAUUAUUCUUAUUAGGGCUGAUCAAAAGCCAAGCGCAGUUUUGUGAGAUAUUUAACAUCAUCAUGCAUGCAAGUUGUUCUAAAUGCAAUUGAAAAUAUUGUUAUAUUACUUGUGAAAAGACAUUACAAAAUGUGUGGUACUGAUGUGUCAAUAACAGUAAAGCACAUGUAGUAUUUUAACUGUUUCUUUUGAUACUCAAAGCAGGAGGAGAUCUCAUGUUCACUAACCCGAGUCAUGAAGGUAUUACAGUAAAAAUGUGAAGAGAAUAUUCAGCAAAAUCACUGUUAGCAAAGUACCUAAAUAUUUUGAAGAGUGUCAAUUUUUAAGGACUUCUACCAUUCUAGAGAAAGGGAAAAUCAUAGGUCCUGACACCCUCCUCCUCCAUUUGUUUCUUUUUGGUUAAUCACUUUGGGUUUCUUUACAGAUCACGUCCAGACAGAGAAGAGUUAAUGUGGACCUUUUAAAGGGCAGUGUGGAGAUCUGUAUUGAGCUGAAAUUUUUCUUGGAGCCUCCAGCAUAUGGAUGUGUUUUCACCAGCUAUCUCUGACAAGUGAGAGAACGCCCCUAAGCUAUGAAUUUUGCUUAAGGUUAUGAAAAUGCCGCAUUUCUUCUGGCCUCAGAGCAGAACUUUGCAGAACUCCAUGAUAACUGCAGCAAGAUUCCAGAUCAGGUAUGACAAGGAAGCAUUUGCUGACCAUCUACUGGGGGAACCUUGGAGAAGAGCUUGCUCAGGGAAAGCAUACACUAUGAAUUUGCAGCAUCUAUGCUAGUUGGAAGGAACCACUCAUUCCUGGAGAACAAGGCAGGAUCAGCCUCCAGAGAACUGCUGCACUGUAAUCAGAGAUUUUCCUGGAAAAGUACCAACUGCAGAAACACAACUUGUCAAUGAAAUCCCUGACCAAACCUCACCACAAGCAUUAAUUAUACUAAUUAGAACUGCUGCCAGUGGAGAAUAAACAUCACAUGCAACUUAUCUCAAAGCAUCAGAUUAUGUGUAUUCAUCAUGAUUUCAAAGCAAGAAAGACCCGCUGAAGUCAACUGAGGCCUAUAUAUUGGUUCUGUUCAUCUUGCAGGUAUGAAAAUUUCCCAUCAGAAUCCUGUACCAAAGGAGAAGGUAAACAAAGACUCUGCAGAAAAAGGAACAACUUGGAGACAUCACGUGACAUGAAACCUACAUUUCUGUGCAAGAAUUUUAUGUUCCAUUUCUUAAAUGUGUGUCUUUUACUUUACCUAAGUGCUUUUAAAAUAAUAAUAGUUACUUAAUAAUAAUAAGUGAUUUUCAUACUUAGAGCAUAGAGCCAUAAAGUCACUUUCCAUC